UACAGAGGGGGCAAGCGUUAUUCGGAAUUACUGGGCGUAAAGCGUGCGCAGGCGGCUUUGCAAGACAGAUGUGAAAUCCCCGGGCUCAACCUGGGAACUGCAUUUGUGACUGCAAGGCUAGAGUACGGUAGAGGGGGAUGGAAUUCCGCGUGUAGCAGUGAAAUGCGUAGAUAUGCGGAGGAACACCGAUGGCGAAGGCAAUCCCCUGGACCUGUACUGACGCUCAUGCACGAAAGCGUGGGGAGCAAACAGG
rnacentral:rRNA from 1 species